GCAGAAGCAGACGCACCACCAGCACCAGCAGCAUCAGACGCAGCAGAAGCCGCAGCUGGCAGUCAGACGUCUGAACCGGUGGAAUAAUUACGCGCAGAACUUCGCUCUGCUGCGGUGAUAAAUUUGGACAGACUAUUUUAGCUUCCUUAUAUAUUUUAAUCUUAAUGGAUUAAAAAAAAUCAUUUUUUAUUAGUAUUUCCGCCCCUGUCUCCUCUUGGGUCAUUGUUCCACUGCUCUCCCCCAAACGAAAGAACCUUGUUUUUAAUUAUGUAUUUCGAGUUUCCUAGGGCUCUUAGCUCUUACCUAGGUGGUGUUGUUGGCAACACACUUUUUUUUUCUUCUAAACCUCAGCUGGUGACAUACAUUUGGCGUUGUCGGCAGGAUCAGCGUCUAAAAAAGGUGCCAUUGGAACCGCAAGAACUGUGGUAACGGUUCCCCCAGGUGUCCAUGUCCACAGGCAGAGCAUCUGCUAGGGUCAACCUUACCACUGCUAGACUCGACCAAGAGGACUGAGUGGCACCACUAUCCAGCGAUUGGGGAAACUGGCAACAAGAUGACUCAGACAUUGCCAUCAUCAAGAGGUAUGAGGGCCAGAGAAGAGGGCUACGACCGAUAAGACCAGAAGGAUCCUCCAACAAUGGAAGAAAUUGAUUGUCCGAGAGCAGGUGCUCUACCGAGAGGUAAUUGACCCCAACACUCACAAGCUACGAUCCCAAAUCGUGUGCCCAGCAUCUAGGUGCCAAGAGGUCUAAGAGGUCCUUAGUGAUCGAACCUAUUGGGCACCCCUGGUCUAACGCAUGCGGUCACUCAAAGAGUGCGACUCUCAGUGGACGAUUAGGAAUAGCAGCUUCUUUUAUAGAAAUGCAAUUUAUGUCUUUCUAUAAUCCUCACAAUGGUAAAGUCAUCCGGCGGGCCGAGUUGGGCCUUGAGUUUGACACCCAUGACUUACAUUGAGAACGAGGCAUCUGUAACAAAUGUUUUUAUUUCCCUGUGCGAACAGCCCUUUUUCUUUGAAUUGUUAGAUCUAAUAAGUUGAAACCUGCAGAAAUCGGCAAAAGAACUAUUUAGCUUUCGCUGAUCAUUUGAAAGGGCUGAAUAUUUUCACCUAAAUGUUAUAGGCUAUACUUGGAUGUCAAACACAUUUUUGUUAAUGAGCUGCUGAGCAAAAUUUCAAAUUCAAGGCUUCAUAAUGACCUUCUCCAUGACAAUGUGAUUCCAUUUAAAUAGAUUUAAUCCAUAUCAGUAAAUUUAUUCAUAAUCCAACCACUGGUCUCAAAUUAAGCCUAUACACUAUAAGCAGUGUUUGUUGUUUUUGCUUAAGACCAAUAGAGCCUACAAUGGCAGUGAUGGAAGAAUUAAGAAUUAAGUUUGUUUUAACCACCUUCUUUUUCUGGCAUGUACCUUAAACACAUCUUCUUAGUUAGAACACUAAUAGGUCGUUCCAAAACCUCCAGAAAUUCAUUGGCGGGUGCUGUGGUUGUUGCUGGGGUAUUUUGCAUUUGCAUUCCCAGAGAAAGCUCCACUUGAUAUCCUGCAUGAGCACCCCCACUGUGUGAUAAUAGCACACAGAGUCUUUUCACACAGCCGCUGCUCCCUUCUGCACACGAUGGGAUGAGAGGAGCAUUUUCACACCAUAUAAUUUGCUUGGAUAGUUUUAUUUCAGGUGUAUCCCAUCACAUUCUCCACAUUUUACCUUUUGCAUCUGCUAGUACACCUCUGCUAAUAACUCAUAACUUUGUCUAUUUGGAAAAAAACUGUGGGGAUGAAGGGAAACCCCUGUGAGUGUUAUGCUGUGUAAAAAUAAGUUAAUAUGUUACUGGUGAAUAAAUAAAUCCAACAACAAACAGACAAACAAAAAGAAAAAACGUUGUGUAACGCCUGAAAUAAAAUCUCUCUGAAAUGAGACUGUCUGGCCUACGGGUGGACUUCCUACUUGCGUCAUCAGCUUCUUCUCAGCAUCACAUCCGCUGCUCCCGUUGCCUAGCAACCUUCUGCACUUGGCAGUAAAGCCUUAAAAACCCCAAAACGUAUAAAAUACAGAUUGAGAAGGUAAUCUUCCUAUUUCAUUUAAUUUAGGAAGAUAUGCUUCUCCUCCAGAGGAUGAUAUAUUUCAGUUAGAGAUAUUUUCCGGUAAUUUUAAAAUUCAAAACAAAUCCGUUAAGCCGUGUACUUUCAGCUAAAACUAAUAUGGCAAUCUUUAGGCAGCGAUUCUACCAAUACUCUCCAUAAAUUCCCAACAGCAAAGCUAUUUAACUGUAACCUAUGCCUAAUAUUACACGAAAUCCAAGCAACAGUAGAUGACUGUCACCACACACGUUCUCCUUCAGCGUGAUGCUGAUUCCUCCAUAAAACACAACUAAAUAAAAGUUAGUUUAUAAUCACACCACAAAAGCAGCAAAGCGACCAAGUUCCGUUUCUAUUUAUUCACGUCUGUAACAUUAUUGACUUAGAAAGUGUGAAAGUUAAGGCAUUAAAGUGACUAAUAACUACAGACAAGCUGCUACACUCUAAAAUAAAAGUUGAGAAUACUUAAAAAAGCUUUUUUGAGUAUACUCAACUAAUGGAUAACAUCAUCUGCUAAUCAAGAUGUUUGUGCGUCAAUGUUUAUAAUCUUGUGGUGCGAAAGAUGAUCGUGUGAGGAUCCCUGUCUAACCCUGGUGUUUUUUCCCUCUGUUUCCCCCAUAUUCUCUCCUCAUGUUGAUGUCAUUCCCCUGUUUGUUAUUGUUUUGCCAUGUGCUUGUGCUUUUGUUUCUGUGUCCCCAGUAGUGUCUUCAGAGCCCCGCCCAGUGCCACACUUUCCUCCAUUGACACAGCUGUAUCUCAUCGUCCCAUUAAACCAGCUGACAUAAAUACUCCGGCUUUCCUUGCCCCAGCUGUCAGUCUGUCCGUUAAGCCACCCCGGUACCUCGGCUCCGUGAGUUUUUCUGUUGCAGCCCUUAUGAUCCUGCGAUAACCCCUUGUUUUUCACCCUUGCCGUCCAGCGUCGAACCUCGGAGAUUCACCUGGCCGAAGAGGUAGCCAGUUAGUUCCACGGAGGUCAGCUGAGCACCUACAUACUCCUGCGUCGAGCCUCGGGUGUCACGCAGUCAAGUUCCUCUGCCUGUCACUCACCAUUGACUUGUGUUUUCGUCUUGCCUUUGUUUUUUCCCUGCCGGAGAAAAUAAAUAACCCCUGUUGGAGAAAGAGAAACCUUGGUGGUCCUGCGUGUUGCAUCUGGGCCCGUUUGCACAUCAUAACAGAUCGUCUACAUCCAACGUCAACUACCAGCACCUCGGUUUUUCCCAGAGCCCCCCCCCCCCGUUUUAGCAUAUUUAUCUUCUAACUAUAUGUUCCUCCCCCGAAGAUGAAAAACGUUUUGAGUUACCUUGUGCAUGACUUGUAUAUGUGUCAACUCUGUCUCCUGUUUGCAAACAUUAAAUAUCUGUUUUUUGAUUUUA